CGCUCCCCUCGCGACCGCGCUCCUCUCACGGCCCCCGGUGCGGGCGUUACCUGGCGGGUACGGCGAGAGGCGGCGGCGGGGCGGGGGCCGGGCGGGCUCAGUGCCGGCGGCGGCGCCCGCUGCGCUGCAUGGCUGCGCCCGCCCCGCUGCCACGGGAAGAAUGGGAGCCGGCGCGCGUGCGCCAACCUCGCCUCACAGCGCAGGCGCGGCACCGCCCCACGCCUCUAGAAAGCUCCCGGGCGGGCAGCGCGCAUGCGCGAAGGAGAGUGCGCGUCCAUCCCUCGUACACCUUUACCACAGAGCGCGAGGCGGGGGCCGGGGGGAACGCGCCUCUCGCCGGUCUCUAUGAAGGAAGGCAGCUGACGGCUGACCAGAAGCAGACUGGGCACAUAACCAUCGUUCCAUUGUUUCUAUCAGAACGCUGUCCCUCGGUGGCUUUUUAAGCUUUCUUCUGGUCUCACAGCAUCUCAGGUUUUUUGUUUGUUUUUAAGUCUGCUCAGAGCUGGCUCUUCUUCAUUAUACUGUGCAGAUUGUCAGCUUCCACAGUGUCAUCAAUUGCAUUUGUUCUAGCAUUGUCUAUGAGAGACCCAUGUGUCCAUUGCUGACAGCAAAUCAGAACAAAAACCCAUCGUGAGAGCACAUCAGGCUACUCCAAAAGGAAAGAGAUUGAAUUUUCCUGACAGAAUCAGAUCUAAAUCGGUAUCUCAAAAAGAUGCCUCCAAAGUUAUUGUUAGAUGAGGGCGUGCUUUUUCUGUCAGUCCUUGGGCAUUCAUCCAGGGGUGCAAAAAGGACUCUAAGUGAAGCAAACAGCAGUGCCUCAACCAGAGGAGCUAUGAACAGCACAAGUGAGUGCUCAACAAGGGCUUCGGCCAGUGGUUUAACUGCAGGUAAUAUUACCCUUAUAACAAAUGUACCUAAAUAAAGGUACUUUCUUUUACUAUGCUUUCAUUUCUGAAAGAUGUGUAUUUACUUCCAUAUCUCACACAUGGACUAGCACAGCACAAAGGUAGCAACAUCUAUCUCCUGAGAUUAUGCUGUUCCCAGUGAAGCAGCGCAGAUUUUUCUCACCCACCUGCAAAAUGCACCACUUCCUGCUUGCUGAGAAGAGUUCUGUUUUGUCAUAAGGAGGUAUGUGCAAAAAAUAUAUAUACGCAGUCCAUUUGGAAGGUGAAACAUUAAGCUUAGAGAUUUCUGCAUUUAGGGCCCAGAAUGCUGGAAGUAGGGACAAAGUCAGAACGUUUUAUUUAAAACUAGUGCUCUUUCAAACAAAACACGUCAGUGAAACAGAACUAGUGGGGAGCAGAAGGAAGAGCUGGGAGGGAAAGGGGCUCUUAUUUAAUAGAAUCACAGAAUGGUUGGGUUGGAAGGGACCUUAAAGCCUACCCAGUUCCAACCUUCUGUCAUGGGCUGGUUGCCAGCCAUCACAUCAGGCUGCCCAGAGUCCCAUCCAGCGUGGCCUUGAGCAUCUCCAGGGAUGGGGCAUCCACAGUAGAAACAACUCACUGUACCUGAACAACCUGCUCCUCCCUUUUCCUUUAGGGCUCUUUUGCACAAUGUCUGCUCAGGAAUCUGAGGGCUGAGCGCCCCAAGGUGAAACAUUCAUUUACAAGUAACAUGAGGAUACUUAGCUGCCCAUGAGAGCGCAGGACUGGAGCCAAAGCCUGGCUGGCCCUGGGUUGUUCUCCUAGAGUUGAGCACACACUUAUUCAGACUUGGAAAGCCACGUUUCCUUUAUGUGUCGUCACAGCUCCACUGCUUGCGCAGAUAAGGGAUGGCACAACUUUGCCUGAUUCUUCGUAACUCUGGAUCUUUCCCUUUGCCCUCACCCUGGCAAUAACACCUCACGCACUGAUCACCUGAACGCACCCCCAUGCUGUGCUAAGGAAAAGGCAGCACUGCUCCUGGCACAAAGAUAAAUAGUGCAGACUAAUGCAAAGUGCUGACCAAGCUUCUGAGUGGUGUUGAUCUGCUCUAGCAACAUCCCUGGGCAACUCACCUUCUCUACCCCUCACCUGUGAAGCAGGGAACAAGCUCUUUGCUUGUACCACGACAGAACACUUGAAACAGAGAGAGCACUAGCUAGCCUGGAUCAGCUACAAAUGCAGUAAUUCCUCAUUCUUUCCCUUGCACACGACAGUUGUCAUAGCUCCAGAUUUGAGCACUUUCAGCUCAGACAAUAUGCUACCUUUAAUUGGUGCUUUCCUGCCAAGCAUUAGCAUUCUGCAUCAGGUUAUUUCCACGUGAGAGCUGCCACUAACAAAACAGCAAGCUGACCCACUUAGCUCCCAUGUGAAGGCACAUGAAGCCGUGCUUCAGUCACCAAACAGAAAGGAAAAUCUGAUAGCAGUAGGCUUUGAUUAAAGGGAAGGGAGCAA
rnacentral:lncRNA from 7 species